ACAGCAGUAGCCGCGGGAAUACGGAGGGUGCAAGCGUUAUCCGGAUUUAUUGGGUUUAAAGGGUCCGUAGGCGGAUCUGUAAGUCAGUGGUGAAAUCUCACAGCUUAACUGUGAAACUGCCAUUGAUACUGCAGGUCUUGAGUAAAUUUGAAGUGGCUGGAAUAAGUAGUGUAGCGGUGAAAUGCAUAGAUAUUACUUAGAACACCAAUUGCGAAGGCAGGUCACUAAGAUUUAACUGACGCUGAUGGACGAAAGCGUGGGGAGCGAACAGGAUUAGAUACCCCAGUAGUCCCUGUCUCUUAUAC
rnacentral:rRNA from 1 species